GACGAACGCUGGCGGCGUGCUUAACACAUGCAAGUCGAGCGGUAAGGCCCUUUCGGGGGUACACGAGCGGCGAACGGGUGAGUAACACGUGGGUGACCUGCCCUCAGCUCUGGGAUAAGCCCGGGAAACUGGGUCUAAUACCGGAUAUGACUCCAUGACGCAUGUUGUGGGGUGGAAAGCCUUGUGCGGCUGAGGAUGGGCCCGCGGCCUAUCAGCUUGUUGGUGGGGUGAUGGCCACCAAGGCGACGACGGGUAGCCGGCCUGAGAGGGCGACCGGCCACACUGGGACUGAGAUACGGCCCAGACUCCUACGGGAGGCAGCAGUGGGGAAUCUUGCGCAAUGGGCGAAAGCCUGACGCAGCGACGCCGCGUGAGGGAUGA
rnacentral:rRNA from 1 species